AUCUCACACAUGACUGAUCUCAAAACUCCAACCCAAGGACAUCGGACUCUAUCUUGAAAUGGUGCAGACAAGUAACUCUACUAUACAGUGUAAUAUACAUUUUAUUAUGAAUCUCUGAGAUACUUCUUUCCCUUGUUCUUGACACGCUUGCCCUGCUAGUUACAGUGGCAGCUAUUUGAAUAAUUGGUUUCAGAAUCUGGAGUCACAGUCCUACGAAUUCCAUGCAUACCAACAAGUUGAGGAGCAAUUCUUCAACAGGGUGUGUUCCAUGCAUGGCAGUGGAGAAUGCAUGUUUUAUGAGCUUGGAAAACAUAAAAACGCUGCAGACUGUCAACUAGGAAAUGUCCCCUUGUGAUAAAGAAGAGGGAUGACUCAGAUUGGCUUUUGUUGGGGUGAGAUUUUUUUUGUUGUUGUGAUCUGAAGAAGUUUGUGCGACUCAUUUAGUGAGAUAUGCUGUAUGACACAGACCAUGGACAAAACUGGUGAGAAGAUUGCGAGUCAAACUUGUUCUAAAUUGUUGUGCAGCAUCUGUGGGAUAUUAUGCCUGAACAUUUAUCUUGCUUUACUGGAUGUUUUAUUUGACUACAACUGGAGGUCAUGGCAAUGCCUCGGAAUGUGUUUUUUACAACUAUAUAUAAAGCAGAUUUUUAGAUUCGUGGCAUGCAGACUCUUUAACCACUAAAAGAAAAUAUUCACUAAAAGGAACUCACCUUGAAAUGAACAAGAAGACAAAUGGAUUUCCGGAGCCCUGCGAUGUUGAGCGUUAUCGAUCGGCACGCUGGAAAGGUCAGAGACUUGGCUCACUGCCGGAGCCUCACCAUGCUCUGGCAUUCACUGGAACUCUGCACCAACCAGGCUGGCACCAUGUGCCAGAAGAGGCAGUGUGUGUAGCAAAGGAAUACCCUGCUGCUAGUAUAGGGAAACAUAUACUUAAUUUUUCAAUCAUCACCAUGCUUUAUUCAUUGUGCCUUAGCCAAUGCGGGGCACGGAAGACUGUGUAACUCUUGUUAUAAUAACACUAUUGUCUCUUAGAACAUCCUCUAAUUCAAAAACUUGAGCUUGAACUCUUAAAGGAAUAGUUCGACAUUUUAGGAAAUAUGUUUAUGUGCUUUCUAACUGAGAGUUAAUUGAGAAGAUCAAUACCGCUCCCAUGUCUGUACGCAAAGUGUGAAGCUACAGCCAGCAGCUAAUUAGCUUAGCUUAGAUAAAGACUGGAAAUAGAAAGAACCACCUAGCCUAGGUCUGUCAUGUCGUGUUUACACACAACAAAAGGGCUUCAGACACGCUGAUAGGUGGAUUUUGUUAGCUUGGGACAGAGCCGGGAUAGCUGUUUCCCCCUGUGUCCAGUCUUUAUGCUAAUCUAAGCUAACCAGGUGCUGGCUGUAACUUCAUAUUUACCCUACAGACAUCAGUCUCAAUCUUCUAAUCUAACUCUUGGCAAGAAAGCAAAAAGUGCAGUACCCUAACGAUUCCUUUAACCUAAAAAAAUAAAAUAAAAUCAACACAAUUAAGGUCCAUUUUACAUGUUGUUUCCGAAGCUUUCAAGAACAUCUAGUGGCCUUCGUCAGCUUCACCUUUCUUAGCUCACCUCUAUAAGCUGACAAAGCUUCAGAAACAAGUAAAAUGGACCAUUGUGUUUAGAACUUUUGUCAUUACACUAAAACUUAUUUUCCAGGAAGAGCUAACUUCUGCUGCAUCAAUACUUACUUCAGAAAGUAAAAUCACUGGGGGGGGGGGGGUAUCCUGUGUAUGAGUGUAACCAUGUAGAGAGAUGAAUGAAUAUGGUUUAUCAACACUGGAUAAGGCAUCAGCUCAAUGACUUAGAUGAUUAAUACCAUGUGUAUGCUGCAUCAAUCUAAGUUCAAUUUCCAUUGCCAGGGUAGUUGGUUGUCUGUCUGACCAAGCACAUCAUCAUCACAUAGGUAAUGAAUUAUGCAGAGGCAGGGAUAGGUUGUUUUUUUUCCUAGACUUGGCAACUGCUAAAGAGCUCUAAGUGCUGCCUCUCUCUUAAAAGAACAUUAGCCAGUUCUCAGAUGCUUAAGCUUGGAGCUUGACUGCUUCCUGCUACUUUUUUCCUAACCAGUUUCUUAUCCGCUGCUUCUGCACCAACAGAUAAGAUUAAUAGACUACAGUAAUUAAUUCUCUGGAAGGAAAAUUAUUUAAAAAACAUUUUAAUUUAGAAUAAGCUCAGAAUAUGGUAACGUGGCAUCUCAAGUACACUGCUGAGUAAAAUAAAGCAUGGACAACAGACUUCUCAGACUGGUGUGUCAGGUUGUGUUUGGUAUACAAACUCACGCAUGCUCGUGUGUGUAUUGUAAAUGUGGAAGACCAUCACAAUUGACUUACACAGCUGACACUGCCUCUGCAAAGUGAUGAGCCGUUUAAUUCACACAUGACUACACCCAGACAGCAAGGGAUCUGUUCAUAUGACCUGCAUCACUACCCCACUUAAGUGAAAAAGCCCCUCAAGAGAAGGCAGAAUUCAAUUUAAUCAUUCACUAUGAAAAGCAAUGUUAAUGUCUUUAGCACUCCAAAUCAGGAGCACGUCAAGGUGUAGGACUUAUUUCAUCUCCUGGGAGAAUCAUGAGAAAACAGCAUCAGGCAACGAGAUCUCACUCAGCCAUUUCGCCGAUAAAAUUAAGUCUCCACUGUGUCUAAAAACAAUACAUGCAGUGAAUGUUCUCAUACUGUACACAGAUAAUUUCUCUGAUGUAUCUGAAAAAGUUUAGAGUAGUGGGCACAACAUCUAUCGCCUUUCACCCAGGUUGUUAAUGAUCUGGUUUAGGGAUGGAUGAUCCAUGUUCCCCUGACUUGAGGUGGCCCUGGUCUGAGAUGGGACAUGUUGGGAUACAGAUUGUGGUAGUUUGAUAUUUUGAGAACUACACUUGCUUUCUUUCAGAGUAAGAUGAGAAGAUCGAAACCACGCUCAUACCCGUCUGUUAAACAUGAAGCUGGAGCCAGGAGCCGGUUAGCUUAGCUUAGCAUGAAGACUGAAAACAGGAGGAAACUAUUUCUUUAAUGGAUGUACUCUAUGUGAGGCAGGUAGUCAGGCUGUCAGCCUUUAGAUAGCCAAUGGUUUCAGUCAGUUUGCAGUCAGACCCUGAAUGCAGGAGGAAAUCUGCAAAAUUGGAACAGAAACAUUUUUUUGCUGUUUAAUUCAGUCUACAUAAUUUGUAAACUACCACUACCUUCCCAAUUUCACUAUUCACAACCUGAAACUCUAAAACAGCUCUAGGCCACUAUGUAGACCUGAAUAUAAAAUGUGUUGGAAAGGAUUAAUAAUAAAUAUCUCAAAACCUGAUGUACACUUGACUGAACUGAACUAAGGCUGAUAGAAUGUCUAAAAACAGUGUGCAAGGAAAAAUAAAUCAAGGAAAUACAGUAUAUUUCCCUGGUGGGGGGGGCGCUGGGCAGUCCAUUUAGCAAGCAAUCAAGUAAUCUGAUGAAGUGAAAUGAAUGGGAGUGGGGUGGAAUGGUUAAUCGCCUGUGGAAGCAUUUUAUUUCGUAGGAACACAUUAAAGAGGUAUUCUGUCAAUGUAGGCUAUGUUGGGGGAGGCUGUGAAAAAUCACAGUCUGCCUGGGUGUGAAUCAAUGUGACUCUUGUGUUCUCUUUAGCAAAGUACAUCAUUUCUGCCAAAUAUGACUCUGCUCUUAGACAGGCUUCAACAUUGCAUCCGACAGGGAAAGAAAAUAAAGUAUGAAGGAAUCGCAGUAGAGAUAUCUGUACCAAGUUUGAUGAAAAUCCAUCCAAUAGUUGAGUCGAGAUAUUUCAGUCUUGACCAAAGUGAUGGACUGACUGAACACCGUUGCGGUCCCUAGACCCAUGUCACAAGCAGAUAAAAACUGCUGCAGUCUGAACAUAUCCCAUAUGUGUCAUUUUGAUGGUUAAAAAUAAAGAAAUAUGUUCAGGACACAGCAUCGUUUUUUGGUAAUUUCAUCAAGUACAACAAAAUAAAGAACAGCAAGAAAACAAGCAUGAUGGUUGAUCAAAAACCACCUGUUGUAUUCCUAAGUGUGCAACAGAGCGCCUGUGGUCAGAAUCAUCUGUGUAGCAAGUCUGAGCAAUUGACAAGUGAGUCAUUAUCAAGGACUAGUCCAUUGAUGUCAUUAACAAAGCUAUGGUCUAAUUUACAGCUACACUCUGACAGUGACAGUAAUUGAAAAGGGUGAGAUAUCAUCCACAAUCACCUUCAUAAUCAAAGUCAAAUAUUCCCAUCUACUCCUUUUAAUGAUUCAUACUUAAGUUCAAACUGCUCAGACUGAGAAUGGGAUCAGAAGAUUUUUUAAUGAGAAAAUGAAAAGUUUGCAAAUUAUCAAUUAACUCUGGUCAUGCCUUAGCUGUGUGUAUGGAUUGUGGAUGCAAAUCACUGCAUUGCAGAAAGUGAAAAGUACAUUUGUUCUUGUGAUCUGUGAGGUUCUCGGCUGAAUCGUAUUUUGGAAAAGCCAAGACUCUUACAUUGUUCCUUGGCAGUUCCCGGUGAGGACCAACUCUACUGAAAACACAGAGAGGAUAACUCAAGGCAAAUCAGCAACAAUCAAGCUGUCUUUGAUUCUGCAUUGGCUGGUCUCACAGACAUGGAUUAGAUAAGCCUGAUCCUUGGCUUUCAGCUGAAAAAGGCAAAAGCAAGUUUGUGAAACUGGCCUUAAGUAUUUGGAGAGUACAUCAUUUGUAUCAGAUUGUUCUUACCAUGCUUACUGUGCUCUAAUGUUACUGUGGCAUUUGUGUUUCACAUCACUGCUCUACAUAUGCAUGUUUAAUUAAAAUUAAAUUCAUAUCUAAAUUCUUUGUUGCCAUCUAUCUCCUGAUUUUCUUCACAACAAAAUCCAUUAGAUGUUGCUUGUCUUUUCUCAGUUGCACUUACAAUUCUGAAUGUCUAUAGUGUUAAAAGCUGGCAAGGUUAAUUGCUGUUUGUUUUUCCUUGCUGCCUGGAAAAACUGAAAUCUAUGAAGAGAAGAGUUGAAGUGAAGAGUUCUGCCAAAUGGAAAUGACACACAUGCUCCAUCAAAUAAAACUGCAGUAGUGCUCAGACACAACUGAUGAACUGUAAAAUUGUUGGUUAUGGUUUUUAACUCAUUUGCCGACUGAGUGACUUCAUGGAAGCCUGGCUGCUUUCUUCACUACAUGAUCCAUCUAAUCAGAUGCCAGGUAGUGGCGGUGCAUAAGAAAUGCAAUGCUAUCUCUGUAUCUAGGCCUCACAUGUUUACUGCACCGUCUGGAGUCCCUCCUGAAAGUUAAAGUGUCAUCUAAAGUCAUCUAAUGUAUGCAGCCAACAGCCACUGCUCCUGAGCUGUUCUGGGUAUUGGGGAUUACAUAAAACUGAACAGACUUGCAGUGUGGAAAUGGCCUCCUGUCAUUGUGUGUGUGUGUGUGUGUGUGUGUGCUGCUCCUCCUCCCUGACAACUGAAGCCUGAGCAUCUCCAAAGACUUGCACGAUGGGGAGCCUUGUUUUGCAUUAUCAUUAAAGACACACACGGGGUGCGAGAGACGGUAGGGCUGCAUGUACGCCACACCGGAUCAAAAAUGAGGCCUACACUGUGUGCAGAGAUUGCAACGACAGAGCAUUUCUGUGGACGCAUUUGUUGAAUUUCAGGAUAUUUUAUAGAGUGAUUUUGUACUGCAUAUCUCACAGAUUAGGAUGAGACGGUGCUAGAAACAGCAGCAUCACAGCCUUCUGCAGUUCUUCUCAUUUUCCUAAGAAGCAGCCGAGUGGUAUCUAGGCAGCAUUUGUCAGAAUGCAAAGAUUUCUGGCAGGUUUUCCCAUCAGUGCAUGUCAGAGAGAAACCAGCUUGUCUCAUGCCGAAUUGUACAAAUGUUCCAUCCUAUGAUUUUCAGCAGUGUGGUACGCUUGAACAGCUGAAGUUGAAAGAUGCACUCGUAUGGAAUUUUAUACUUUAACAGUUUUUAUUUUUUUAACCAUACUAAAAAAAGCGUGUAUGGUUUUUAUCUUUUAUCCACCAUUCACCAUGCCCACACACACUCAGGAUCCUAUGAAACAAACAGCAGAGCAUCAUCAAUGAGUAAUUGAGAGAGACUUCAGGGCAGAGCAUCAACACCAGGGGGAACGGGGCGACUUGGCGCGGGCGUGACAUUUCACCAUCUCACUCAGCAGCUGGUUAUCAAACCAAUCGGAUAUGGUUGGAAAACUCCCCCUUCUAUAUCUCAUUUUCUUCUCGCAUUGCCCUCCAAGUAUCUUGAUUCACGUCUCCAUCACAGUUAAAUGUGGAUGAUAGCCUGUUUUUCUCAUCGUGGAUGCUGAUGAGUCACAGUUUAAUGGAUACGCAAUAAGAGAUCAAAAGUAUUUUAGGAUUGUUUUUCAUAAAUGAAGCCCGCCAAUGGUGUUUUUUUUUUUUAAGACAUACAAUUCAAUAUUAAAAACAAAAGACAUAAUGAGGAAGAACAGGCAAAAACACAAAUCCAACAUUACAUUUGUGUUUACAUACUUUGACAACAGUUAAAUGGGUACAUUGAAAUCAGAUUUGGUCCUUUUAUUGGAUCCACCAAAUACAAAAAUAUUGUUAAUCAUAUCCGUCACUUUCCUAACAACAAUAUAAGGCCACUGGAGUUGCUGACAGCAUUAAUACACCAGACACUGUGUUAAAAUCCAGCAUUAUUAUUUGUGCAUGUUUACCACUUAAACAACAUAAAUCUCUCCACUGGGAAUUGUUUACCAUUAUAAAUGUGUGCAUGCUAUUGUAAAACAGCACUGCAUGGUCCAUUAGGUUUAGGUGACAGCACAAUCAGCCACUUUACAGGUUCAAGUGCUCCAACAGAUCUCUGGACUAUCAAUACUGUUUACGACACAGGUUUGGUUGAUAUAAAAGCCCUAUAUGACCUGCCAGAGAGAUAUGAUCCCCAGAUUGUCGAAUAUCAAUUUUAUUGCAGCUGCAUGCACCAUAUCACAUUAGCAUAUAUAAUGCCAGCGUAAAAAAUGUUUGAAUAUGUAGGACAUGUCUGGAAUAACAGAUGGCCACA